AAUAGGAAGGCAGGUAAAUGAACUGUAGAGGUGUAUCCAUGUCCACCUUAUUCACCGCAACUGGCACUGUGCUAUUUAAGAUCCUUCUCCAACAUUUAAAUAACCAUUACUGGUAAAUUCUGAAUUGAUUCAGGACAUUGAGGCAGCCAUCAUAUCACCAGUUUGGUGCUGAUGACCGAACCCAGGGCUUCCAGCUUGCUAGUACAAAGGCCAAAGCUUGGUGCUUAUCAAGGCUGUCACAGAGCAGACCUACAGUGAGUGAAUUAGAAAGAAAUUAAAAAGAAGGAAGGAUAGAAGGCAAGAAACUAGGAUGAGAGGGAAGAAAGGAGAGGAGGAAGAAUAGAAGGAGGGAAGAAAGCAAAAGGGAAGAAGAAAGU